rnacentral:rRNA from 1 species
CUUGUUGGUGAGGUAAUGGCUCACCAAGGCGUCGACGGGUAGCCGGCCUGAGAGGGUGACCGGCCACACUGGGACUGAGACACGGCCCAGACUCCUACGGGAGGCAGCAGUGGGGAAUAUUGCACAAUGGGCGAAAGCCUGAUGCAGCAACGCCGCGUGAGGGACGACGGCCUUCGGGUUGUAAACCUCUUUUAGCAAGGAAGAAGCGAAAGUGACGGUACUUGCAGGAAAAGCGCCGGCUAACUACGUGCCAGCAGCCGCGGUAAUACGUAGGGCGCAAGCGUUAUCCGGAAUUAUUGGGCGUAAAGAGCUCGUAGGCGGUUUGUCGCGUCUGCUGUGAAAACCCGAGGCUCAACCUCGGGCCUGCAGUGGGUACGGGCAGACUAGAGUGCGGUAGGGGAGAUUGGAACUCCUGGUGUAGCGGUGGAAUGCGCAGAUAUCAGGAAGAACACCGAUGGCGAAGGCAGAUCUCUGGGCCGUAACUGACGCUGAGGAGCGAAAGGGUGGGGAGCAAACAGGCUUAGAUACCCUGGUAGUCCACCCCGUAAACGUUGGGAACUAGUUGUGGGGUCCAUUCCACGGAUUCCGUGACGCAGCUAACGCAUUAAGUUCCCCGCCUGGGGAGUACGGAAUCUCUAGAGGAUCCC